UACAGAGGUCUCGAGCGUUAGGCGGAAUCACUGGGCUUAGAGCGUGUGUAGGCGGAUUGGUAAGUACCUUGUGAAAUCCCACGGCUCAACCGUGGAACUGCUCGGUAUACUGCCUGUCUUGUGCAACCUAGGGGCGAGCGGAACAGAUGGUGGAGCGGUGAAAUGCGUAGAUAUCCGGAGGAAGACCGGUGGCGAAGGCGGUCUGCUGGGCAGUUUCUGACACUGAGGCGCGACAGCGUGGGGAGCAAACAGG
rnacentral:rRNA from 1 species